AGGUUGAAAAGUUUGAUUUUUGUUUAAAAAAUUAGGUGUAAUUUUUAAUUUACAUGUAAAUUUUUAUUUAAUUAAAAUUUAUUUUUAUAAUAAAUAAAAUAGUGAUCGCAGUCAAUAAUUUUAAAUAUAAAUUAAUGUUUGAUUUAGUAAAAAUUUUUAUAACUAACAAAAUUUGUGCCAGCAGUUGCGGUUAUUCAAAUAGUUGAACUUAAUUUUUUUUAGAAUCAAUUUAUAGUAAAUAAAAUUUUAUAUAAAAAUUAUUAGGUGAAAUUAUUAAUUUUUAGAAAAAUUUAAAUUAAUGAAGUUGAGAAAUUUUGUGUAUUAGACUAGGAUUAGAUACCCUAUUAUUAAAAAUGUUAAUUAAAUUUCUAGAUUAGUAACAGUUAUGUUCUUGAAAAUUAAAAAAUUUGGCGGUAUUUUAGACUAGUCAGAGGAACCUGUUCUGUAAUUGAUAGUCCACGAGAUAAUAUACUUUUUUUAGAAGUUUGUAUAUCGUCGUAGUUUGGAAUAUUUUCUGAGGAUUUAAAUAUUCUUAAUUUAUUUUUUAAAGUAAAUCAGAUCAAGGUAUAGCUUAUAAAAGAGAAGUAAUGGGUUACAUUAGUUAAAUUUAAAGAUUUUAAAUGGAAUUAUUUAAAUGAAUUUGGAUUUGAUAGUAAUUAUAUUUAAUUUAAUAUAAUGAUAGAAGCUCUAAAAUAUGCACAUAUCGCCCGUCGCUUUCACUUUAAGGUGAAAUAAGUCGUAACAAAGUAGAUUUACUGGAAAGUGAGUCUAGAAAGAUA
rnacentral:ncRNA from 1 species